rnacentral:rRNA from 1 species
GUCGUGCGAGACAGUCUCUUCGGAGAUGAGUAGAGCGGCGAACGGGUGAGUCUAACAUAGUAACCUGCCUCUAAAUCUGGGACAACCUUUCUAACGAGGGGCUAAUACCGGAUGUGAUGAUUUUAACUCAUGUUAUUAUUAUUAAAGAUGACCUCUUCUUGAAAGUUAUUGUUUAGAGAUGGACUUGCGUACCAUUAGUUUGUUGGUGGGGUAACGGCCUACCAAGACUACGAUGGUUAGCCGACCUGAGAGGGUGAUCGGCCACAUUGGGACUGAGAUACGGCCCAGACUCCUACGGGAGGGAGCAGUAGGGAAUCUUGCGCCAUGGACGAAAGUCUGACGCAGCAACUCCGCGUGAAGGAUGACGGCCUUAGGGUUGUAAACUUCUGUUGAAUGGGAAGAAUAGGGUUUGUGCUAAUCAGCAGAUCUAUGACGGUACCAUUUUAGAAAGCACCGGCUAACUACGUGCCAGCAGCCGCGGUAAUACGUAGGGUGCAAGCGUUGUUCGGAAUCACUGGGCGUAAAGCGAAUGUAGGCGGGGAAGUAAGUUAGAAGUGAAAUGUAUCGGCUCAACCUGUAAUCUGCUUUUAAUACUGCUUUUCUUGAGUAUGGAAGAGGAAGAUGGAAUUUCAGGUGUAGCGGUGGAAUGCGUAGAUAUCUGAAAGAACACCAGUUGCGAA